AGAACGAACGCUGGCGGCAGGCCUAACACAUGCAAGUCGAGCGAUUGCAUCAAUGCAUGAGCGGCAGACGGGUGCGGAACACGUGGGAACAUACCCUUUGGUUUGGAAUAACUCAGGAAAACUUGAGCUAAUACCGGAUAAGCCCGCAAGGGGAAAGAUUUAUCGCCGAAGGAUUGGCCCGCGUCCGAUUACCUAGUUGGUGAGGUAAUGGCUCACCAAGGCGACCAUCGGUAGCUGGUCUGAGAGGAUGAUCAGCCACAUUGGGACUGACACACGGCCCAAACUCCUACGGGAAGCACCACUGGGGAAUAUUGGACAAUGGGCGCAAGCCUGAUCCAACCAUGCCGCGUGAGUGAUGACGGCCUUAAGGUUGUAAGGCUCUUUCGCUCGGGACGAUAAUGACGGUACCGAGAUAAGAAGCCCCGGCUAACUUCGUGCCAGCAUCCGCGGUAAUACGAAGGGGGCUAGCGUUGUUCGGAAUUACUGGGCGUAAAGCGCGUGUAGGCGGGUCUUUAAGUCAGGGGUGAAAUGCCGAGGCUCAACCUUGGAACUGCCUUUGAUACUGGAGAUCUUGAGUCCGGGAGAGGUGAGUGGAACUGCGAGUGUAGAGGUGAAAUUCGUAGAUAUUCGCAAGAACACCAGUGGCGAAGGCGGCUCACUGGCCCGGAACCGACGCUGAGACGCGAAAGCGUGGGGAGCAAACAGGAUUAGAUACCCUGGUAGUCCACGCUGUAAACGAUGGAUGCUAGCCGUUGGGGAGCUUGCUCUUCAGUGGCGCCGCUAACGCAUUAAGCAUCCCGCCUGGGGAGUACGGUCGCAAGAUUAA
rnacentral:rRNA from 1 species